rnacentral:rRNA from 1 species
GACGAACGCUGGCGGCGUGCUUAACACAUGCAAGUCGAACGGAAAGGCCCUGCUUUUGUGGGGUGCUCGAGUGGCGAACGGGUGAGUAACACGUGAGUAACCUGCCCUUGACUUUGGGAUAACUUCAGGAAACUGGGGCUAAUACCGGAUAGGAGCUCCUGCUGCAUGGUGGGGGUUGGAAAGUUUCGGCGGUUGGGGAUGGACUCGCGGCUUAUCAGCUUGUUGGUGGGGUAGUGGCUUACCAAGGCUUUGACGGGUAGCCGGCCUGAGAGGGUGACCGGCCACAUUGGGACUGAGAUACGGCCCAGACUCCGACGGGAGGCAGCAGUGGGGAAUAUUGCACGAUGGGCGGAAGCCUGAUGCAGCAACGCCGCGUGCGGGAUGACGGCCUUCGGGUUGUAAACCGCUUGCGCCUGUGACGAAGCGUGAGUGACGGUAAUGGGUAAAGAAGCACCGGCUAACUACGUG